GACGAACGCUGGCGGCGUGCCUAAUACAUGCAAGUCGAGCGAAGCGGCGGAUGGGUGAGUAACGCGUGGGUAACCUGCCCUUAAGUCUGGGAUACCAUUUGGAAACAGAUGCUAAUACCGGAUGCUACAGGAUGGAUCUUCGGUGGAUUAGCUAGUUGGUCAGGUAACGGCUUACCAAGGCGAUGAUGCAUAGCCGGGUUGAGAGGAUGAUCAGCCACACUGGGACUGAGACACGGCCCAGACUCCUACGGGAGGCAGCAGUGGGGAAUCUUGCACAAUGGACGAAAGCCUGAUGGAGCAACGCCGCGUGAGUGAAGAAGGUUUUCGGAUCGUAAAGCUCUGUUGUUGGGGAAGCGGUAAUCAACCAGAAAGUAACGGCUAACUACGUGCCAGCAGCCGCGGUAAUAC
rnacentral:rRNA from 1 species